rnacentral:tRNA from 1 species
GCGGGCGUGGCGGAAUGGUAGACGCAGCGGACUUAAAAUCCGUUUUCCAACUGGAAGUGCGGGUUCAAGUCCCGCCGCCCGCACCA